rnacentral:rRNA from 1 species
UACGUAGGGGGCUAGCGUUGUCCGGAUUUAUUGGGCGUAAGAGCUCGUAGGUGGUUCGGUAAGUCGGAUGUGAAAUCUCCAGGCUCAACCUGGAGGGGUCAUUCGAUACUGCCGUGACUAGAGUUCGGUAGAGGAGUGGUGGAAUCUGGUGGAGCGGUGAAUGCGCAGAGAUCAGGAGGAACACCAGUGGCGAAGGCGGCUCCUGGCCUGUUCUUGACGCUGAGGCGCGAAAGCUAGGGGAGCAAACGGG